rnacentral:rRNA from 1 species
GAUUAGCCAUGCAUGUCUCAGUGCAAGCCAAAUUAAGGUGAAACCGCAAAUGGCUCAUUAAAUCAGUUAUGGUUCAUUAGAUGAUACACCACAUUACUUGGAUAACUGUGGUAAUUCUAGAGCUAAUACAUGCAAACUGAGUGCCAACCGGUGACGGUAGGUACGCUUUUAUUAGAUCAAAACCAAUACGUUCGUUUCGGCGAACGAUCUCAUUGGUGACUCUGAAUAACUUUUUGAUGAUCGCAUGGUCCUUGUACCGGCGACAAAUCUUUCAAAUGUCUGCCUUAUCAACUGUCGAUGGUAGGCUCUGCGCCUACCAUGGUUGUAACGGGUGACGGGGAAUCAGGGUUCGAUUCCGGAGAGGGAGCCUGAGAAACGGCUACCACAUCCAAGGAAGGCAGCAGGCGCGCAAAUUACCCACUCCCGGCACGGGGAGGUAGUGACGAAAAAUAACGAUACGGGACUCAUCCGAGGCCCCGUAAUCGGAAUGAGCACACUUUAAAUACUUUAACAAGUAUCCAUUGGAGGGCAAGUCUGGUGCCAGCAGCCGCGGUAAUUCCAGCUCCAAUAGCGUAUAUUAAAGUUGUUGCGGUUAAAAAGCUCGUAGUUGGGAAUGUGUCCCGCACUGUCGGUGCGCCAUUUAUGGUGUUUACUGGCAUGCUGUGGGACGUCCUGCCGGUGGGAUUGUUGCCACCGUUUAGUGCGUUGUUUUUAUAUAAAAGUAACGUACGGCGGUUCAGUAACUUUCUCUUGUCACCCAUCGCGGUGCUCUUUACUGAGUGUCGUGGCGGGCCGGCACGUUUACUUUGAACAAAUUAGAGUGCUAAAAGCAGGCCUCAUGCCUGAAUAUUGUGUGCAUGGAAUAAUAGAAUAGGACCUCGGUUCUAUUUUGUUGGUUUUCUGGACCAGAGGUAAUGAUUAAGAGGAACGGACGGGGGCAUUCGUAUUGAGACGUUAGAGGUGAAAUUCUUGGAUCGUCUCAAGACGGACAGAAGCGAAAGCAUUUGCCAAGA